rnacentral:tRNA from 1 species
CGGGCAAUAGAUCAGUGGUAGAGCUCUCGCUUCAUAUGCGCGAAGACUUGGGUUCGAUUCUCGGUUGCCUAC